rnacentral:rRNA from 1 species
GGUUAAGCGACUAAGCGUACACGGUGGAUGCCCUGGCAGUCAGAGGCGAUGAAGGACGUGCUAAUCUGCGAUAAGCGUCGGUAAGGUGAUAUGAACCGUUAUAACCGGCGAUUUCCGAAUGGGGAAACCCAGUGUGAUUCGUCACACUAUCAUUAACUGAAUCCAUAGGUUAAUGAGGCGAACCGGGGGAACUGAAACAUCUAAGUACCCCGAGGAAAAGAAAUCAACCGAGAUUCCCCCAGUAGCGGCGAGCGAACGGGGAGCAGCCCAGAGCCUGAAUCAGUGUGUGUGUUAGUGGAAGCGUCUGGAAAGGCGCGCGAUACAGGGU